rnacentral:tRNA from 1 species
GCUAAGGUAGCUAAAUGGGAGUAGCGGGGAGUCUAAAACUCCUUUUAUAAGGGUUCGAAUCCUUUCCUUGGUA